ACGCUCGACACCUACGGGAGACAGCAGUGAGGAAUAUUGGUCAAUGGGCGCUAGCCUGAACCAGCCAAGUAGCGUGAAGGAUGAAGGCUCUAUGGGUCGUAAACUUCUUUUAUAUAAGAAUAAAGUGCAGUAUGUAUACUGUUUUGUAUGUAUUAUAUGAAUAAGGAUCGGCUAACUCCGUGCCCGCAGCCGCGGUAAUCUGAGCGGGCUGGCAAGGC
rnacentral:rRNA from 1 species